UUCAAGGGGAUUAUUCACACGGAGGAGGCUAGCAGGGUUUGGCACUAUAUUUUCAAUUUUUAGUAGACUUAAAAUCUUUUUGCAAUGAACUCCCAUAGAGAAAAGUCCUGUCUUGAAACCAAGAGCAAAGAAAAAUGGUACCAGAAUUUCCAUUAUGCAAAUCCAAGCAAGAAUAUCACUGAAACAGGAACUGCAUCUCUGGAGUUUAGCUUUGGCAAGACAUCAUAUUGCAUGUCGCUGAGAUGUUGAUUCAGUAUUCCAGCUCAGCUGCCACAUUGACCCUCCAGAAAAAGGCAUCAGGAAUCUCCAUGAAAAUAAGGAAACAACUGGAUGCUACUCAGACACCAGGACCCAGUUCUCAACUCCAUCCUGGAUGGAUGGGACAUCGCGGAGAGAAAGGGAACAUAGGCAGGGUGUCCCUAUGCUCCAGGGACACCCUAUGCUCCAGCAAUCCCCAGCUGCUAGAAUGGUCCCGCAGGGCCAUGGGGAGGCAGAACUUGUAUCACCCCCAAAAUCCAGGAGGCAUAAAGGUGUGUCGUCGUUCUUUAAAAGUGCUUUGACGUGCUGAAAUGGAAGGUCUUAAAGAAGCGCCCACACUAGUGAAGCCCCAACACAGUGGCCUAGCUAGGAGUGUAAACGUGGAUGG